AGGGUGCGAGCGUUGUCCGGAUUUAUUGGGCGUAAAGGGCUCGUAGGUGGUUGAUCGCGUCGGAAGUGUAAUCUUGGGGCUUAACCCUGAGCGUGCUUUCGAUACGGGUUGACUUGAGGAAGGUAGGGGAGAAUGGAAUUCCUGGUGGAGCGGUGGAAUGCGCAGAUAUCAGGAGGAACACCAGUGGCGAAGGCGGUUCUCUGGGCCUUUCCUGACGCUGAGGAGCGAAAGCGUGGGGAGCGAACAGGCUUAGAUACCCUGGUAGUCCACGCUGUAAACGGUGGGUACUAGGUGUGGGGUCCAUUCCACGGGUUCCGUGCCGUAGCUAACGCUUUAAGUACCCCGCCUGGGGAGUACGGCCGCAAGGCUAAAACUCAAAGGAAUUGACGG
rnacentral:rRNA from 1 species